AGCCUUGAAAGCUUACUAGAAGAUAA
rnacentral:tRNA from 1 species